GACGUAGGGGGCCAGCGUUGCUCGGAAUUACUGGGCGUAAAGGGUUCGUAGGCGGUGUGGCAAGUCGGGAGUGAAAUCUCUGGGCUUAACUCAGAGGCUGCUUCCGAAACUGCCGUGCUAGAGUGCGGGAGAGGCGAGUGGAAUUGCAGGUGUAGCGGUGAAAUGCGUAGAUAUCUGCAGGAACACCCGUGGCGAAGGCGGCUCGCUGGACCGCAACUGACGCUGAGGAACGAAAGCUUGGGGAGCAAACAGG
rnacentral:rRNA from 1 species